GAUUUGUCUGGUUAAUUCCGUUAACGAACGAGACCCGCGCCUGCUAAAUAGUCGAACGCUCUUCAUGAGUGAUUUGCACUUCUUAGAGGGACCAUCUGUGGCUCACCGGAAGGAAGUUGCGGGCAAUAACAGGUCUGUGAUGCCCUUAGAUGUUCUGGGCUGCACACGGGCUACACUGGAGGGUACAACGAGCGUCAUUCCACGCAUACCCGAGAGGUUUGCCARUCUUUGAAUACCCUCCGUGAUUGGGAUAGACCAUUGCAAUUUUUGGUCUUCAACGAGGAAUUCCUAGUAAACGCGCGUCAACAACGCGAUUGAUUACGUCCCUGCCCUUUGUACACACCGCCCGUCGCUCCUACCGAUUGGUAUGUUCUGAUGAGCUAUUUGGAGGCUAAUGUGGUAGGGCGUUAAACCUCGACCACAAGCCAAAAUCUCGCAAAUCCGAAUAUCUAGAGGAAGGAGAAGUCGUAACAAGGUUUCCGUAGUGAAACCUGCAGAAGGAUCA
rnacentral:rRNA from 1 species